rnacentral:rRNA from 1 species
AGUGAACGCUGGCGGUAGGCCUAACACAUGCAAGUCGAACGGCAGCGCAGUAAGAGCUUGCUCUUACGGGUGGCGAGUGGCGGACGGGUGAGGAAUACAUCGGAAUCUACUUUUUCGUGGGGGAUAACGUAGGGAAACUUACGCUAAUACCGCAUACGACCUACGGGUGAAAGCAGGGGAUCUUCGGACCUUGCGCGAUUGAAUGAGCCGAUGUCGGAUUAGCUAGUUGGCGGGGUAAAGGCCCACCAAGGCGACGAUCCGUAGCUGGUCUGAGAGGAUGAUCAGCCACACUGGAACUGAGACACGGUCCAGACUCCUACGGGAGGCAGCAGUGGGGAAUAUUGGACAAUGGGCGCAGGCCUGAUCCAGCCAUACCGCGUGGGUGAAGAAGGCCUUCGGGUUGUAAAGCCCUUUUGUUGGGAAAGAAAAGCAGCAGGUUAAUACCCCGCUGUUCUGACAGUACCCAAAGAAUAAGCACCGGCUAACUUCGUG